rnacentral:tRNA from 1 species
GCCUAGUUAGCUCAGUUGGUUAAGCAUCCAAUUUUGGUUUCGGUGCAGGUCAUGAUCUCACAGUUCAUAGGUUCAAGCCCUGUGUUGGGCU